rnacentral:rRNA from 1 species
GACGAACGCUGGCGGCGUGCUUAACACAUGCAAGUCGAACGAUGAAGAAGAGAAACGCGAACUUCGGUUCAAAUUUCACUUCGGAUUAGUGGCAGACGGGUGAGUAACGCGUGAGCAACCUACCUCUUACAAAGGGAUAGCCUCGGGAAACCGUGAUUAAUACCAUAUGACACAUUCAUAAGGCAUCUUCAGAAUGUUAAAGCUACGGCGGUAAGAGAUGGGCUCGCGUCCCAUUAGCUAGUUGGUGAGGUAACGGCCCACCAAGGCGACGAUGGGUAACCGGCCUGAGAGGGUGAACGGUCACAUUGGAACUGAGACACGGUCCAAACUCCUACGGGAAGCAGCAGUGGGGAAUAUUGCACAAUGGAGGGAACUCUGAUGCAGCGACGCCGCGUGAGCGAUGAAGGAAUUCGUUUCGUAAAGCUCUGUUCUAUGGGAAGAAAAGGACUGUACCAUAGGAGAAAGCCCCGGCUAAAUACGUG